AUUGAACGCUAGCGGGAUGCUUUACACAUGCAAGUCGAGCGAGAGGCGGACGGGUUAGUAAUAUAUCGGAAAGUUCGCAGGAGCGGGGGAUAACUACCCGAAAGAGUGGCUAAUACCGACUACUAGUGGCGAGGACGAUUUCGGAUGAGGUAGUGGGUGUGGUAAAGGCACACAAGGGAAACGAUCCGGAGCUGGUUUGAGAGGACGACCAGCCACACGGGGACUGAGAAACGGUCCAGACUCAUACGGGAGGCAGCAGUGGGGAAUUUUGGACAAUGGGGGAACACCUGAUCCAGCCAUCCCGCGUGUAUUAGAAGGCCUUCGGGUUGUAAAUUACUUUGAGUAGAGAAGCGUUAUCUGCAGAAUAAGCACCGGCUAACUUCGUGCCAGCAGCCGCGGUAAUAC
rnacentral:rRNA from 1 species